GACGAACGCUGGCGGCGUGCCUAAUACAUGCAAGUCGAGCGGACGGAUGGGAGCUUGCUCCCAGCCCGUCAGCGGCGGACGGGUGAGUAACACGUGGGCAACCUGCCUGUAAGACUGGGAUAACUCCGGGAAACCGGGGCUAAUACCGGAUAACUCUUUCCCUCACAUGAGGGAAAGCUGAAAGAUGGCAUCCCGCUAUCACUUACAGAUGGGCCCGCGGCGCAUUAGCUAGUUGGUGAGGUAACGGCUCACCAAGUGGACGAUGCGUAGCCGACCUGAGAGGGUCAUCGGCCCUACUGGGACUGAGACACGGCCCAGACUCCUACGGGAGGCAGCAGUAGCGAAUCUUCCGCAAUGGACGGAAGUCUGACGGAGCAACGCCGCGUGAGUCAUGAAGGUUUUCUGAUCGUAAAACUCUGUUGUCAGGGAAGAACAAGUACCGGAGUAACUGCCGGUACCUUGGCGGUCCCUGACCGGAAAGGCACGGCUAACUCCGUG
rnacentral:rRNA from 1 species